CCUUUUGAAGACCCUAUUUUCAACCUAAUACCCUAAUCUCACUCCAGCAUUACAAAGACAAAGCUCUCUCACUGCACCACUAUUGCAAAAACGCAUGAAGCUCUCUCACUGCACCACUGCUGCAAAAACUCUGGCGUCCGUUUCUUCUUGAAGCUGUAGGGAAUUUUAUCCCGCUCACCGAUAUACCGCCGGCCAGUAAAAUCGUCAUUCCACCGUCUUGAUCGACAACCCACCAAAUACCUCUUUCGUCUUUCGUAACAAAAAAGAAGACAGGUAGGACAUAUGUUGUCGGAGUGCCCAAAAAAAAGAAGAUGCCCAAACUGUGGUGCAGGCUUUAUCAAAUGAAUGGAGGUGGAAAAGAACAAUGAACAUAAAGGAUUGUUGUUUCAUUGUUGUACCCGCGAUUGCAAGUAUUUCAAAUGGUGUAAGAAAUUUAUGGAUGAAAAAUGUGAAUUGCAUGACGACGGUGAAUCAAGUGUCACUUUAAAAUGAGGUGAGCCUGUUGCGGAGUUGUCGCAUAUGUUGAAAAUGCUUGCUAAGCUGACGGAGGAAAAAGACUUGGAGAUUUCCCUCAACAUCAACAUGCGUAAGGGAAAACAAGAGUCCGAAGAUUUUAUCUAAACUUAGAUGUAAUUCUACUCUAUGCAAUACGAUAUUGUGGAUGUAAUGAAGUCGUUGAGUCUUAUGAUUUUGUUCGUGUACAUAUUUGUUCGUCUCUAGUGUCUUUGUUAGCUGCCGUGGGUGUUAUGAAUCUACUUCCCUCGUGCAAGGCAAGUAGAAUUGUGCUCAACUAUUAGGUCCAUUUAAAAAUCAUGAAUUAGGAUUGGUUGCAA